rnacentral:rRNA from 1 species
GACGAGUGGUCCUAGCGUUAGUCGGAAUCACUGGGCUUAAAGGGUGCGUAGGUGGGCUUGUAAGUGCUUUGUGAAAGCCCCCGGCUCAACCGGGGAACCGCAGGGCAUACUGCAAGUCUUGAGGAAACUAGAGGCCGGUAGAACGAUAGGUGGAGCGGUGGAAUGCGUAGAGAUCUAUCGGAAUGCCGAAGGUGAAGACAGCCGGCUGGGGUUUUCCUGACACUGAGGCACGAAAGCGUGGGGAGCAAACAGG